GGAAACACACCUCCAGGCAGGCAGAGAACCCUAAUCAACUGCAGCUUGCACUUCUGACCCUGCCGACGCCAGCCCUGCCGUAUCUCGCCGACUCACCCUCCAGAACCCGAGCAGGAUAUGCCAAGCCGGAACUGCUGACCAGCAAUGGUAGCAGGAAGCUCUCACCAAGUCCAUCUCCCUUUCUGGACAAUGCCGGGAAGACCACACCUCCCGCCCUCAAAGGCAUUCGCAUUCUAGGGGUGCCACAUACCAGUGGCAUAUAAGGAGACCCCGAG